rnacentral:rRNA from 1 species
AUUGAACGCUGGCGGAAUGCUUUACACAUGCAAGUCGAGCGGCAGCACGGGGGCAACCCUGGUGGCGAGCGGCGAACGGGUGAGUAAUACAUCGGAACAUGCCCAGUCGUGGGGGAUAACACUUCGAAAGAAGUGCUAAUACCGCAUACGUCCUGAGGGAGAAAGCGGGGGAUCUUCGGACCUCGCGCGAUUGGAGUGGCCGAUGUCAGAUUAGCUAGUUGGUGGGGUAAAGGCCUACCAAGGCAACGAUCUGUAGCUGGUCUGAGAGGAUGAUCGGCCACACUGGAACUGAGACACGGCCCAGACGCCUACGGGAGGCAGCAGUGGGGAAUUUUGGACAAUGGGGGCAACCCUGAUCCAGCCAUUCCGCGUGAGUGAAGAAGGCCUUCGGGUUGUAAAGCUCUUUCGGCAGGAACGAAACGGUGAGCUCUAACAUAGCUUGCUAAUGACGGUACCUGAAGAAGAAGCACCGGCUAACUACGUGCCAGCAGCCGCGGUAAGAC